rnacentral:rRNA from 1 species
UGCAAGUCGAACGCUUCUUUCCUCCCGAGUGCUUGCACUCAAUUGGAAAGAGGAGUGGCGGACGGGUGAGUAACACGUGGGUAACCUACCCAUCAGAGGGGGAUAACACUUGGAAACAGGUGCUAAUACCGCAUAACAGUUUAUGCCGCAUGGCAUAAGAGUGAAAGGCGCUUUCGGGUGUCGCUGAUGGAUGGACCCGCGGUGCAUUAGCUAGUUGGUGAGGUAACGGCUCACCAAGGCCACGAUGCAUAGCCGACCUGAGAGGGUGAUCGGCCACACUGGGACUGAGACACGGCCCAGACUCCUACGGGAGGCAGCAGUAGGGAAUCUUCGGCAAUGGACGAAAGUCUGACCGAGCAACGCCGCGUGAGUGAAGAAGGUUUUCGGAUCGUAAAACUCUGUUGUUAGAGAAGAACAAGGACGUUAGUAACUGAACGUCCCCUGACGGUAUCUAACCAGAAAGCCACGGCUAACUACGU